rnacentral:tRNA from 1 species
UGCAAAAUUAAAAUUAAACUGUAAAUUUAAAAUAGAGACGGCUCUUUUGUAU